rnacentral:rRNA from 1 species
GGAGUUAGCCGGUGCUUCUUCUGUGAGUGAUGUCCUUCCUGCCGGCUAUUAACCCGCAGGCCUUCUUCCUCACUGAAAGUGCUUUACAACCCGAAGGCCUUCUUCACACACGCGGCAUGGCUGGAUCAGGGUUGCCCCCAUUGUCCAAUAUUCCCCACUGCUGCCUCCCGUAGGAGUCUGGGCCGUGUCUCAGUCCCAGUGUGGCUGAUCAUCCUCUCAGACCAGCUACGGAUCGUCGCCUUGGUGAGCCGUUACCUCACCAACCAGCUAAUCCGACAUAGGCUCAUCCGAUAGCGCGAGGCCCGAAGGUCCCCCGCUUUCCCCCGUAGGGCGUAUGCGGUAUUAGCCUUGGUUUCCCCAGGUUAUCCCCCACUACCGGGCAGAUUCCUAUGCAUUACUCACCCGUCCGCCGCUCGCCACCAGGGAGCAAGCUCCCCGUGCUGCCGCUCGACUUGCAUGUGUUAGGCCUGCCGCCAUCGUUCAAUCUGAGCCAUAAUCAAACUCUGA